rnacentral:lncRNA from 1 species
UUCUGAUAGAUUUUGAAGCCAUGAAUCAGAAAUCGUUCUCUUUAUUAUUCUUCACAUUCUCUUUUGUCUUAUUUUUUUUUGUCUAUCCUCAACAACGUCCUCUCCAAUAUUAUUAUCAGGUUUAGUAUUCCUUCUCUGUAUAAUAUAAUAGGUUACGAGUUUGUGCCUUGGAAACAGUCAAAUCGGAAUAAAUUAUCUACAUCACAUCUUUUUGCGGUGCAGUUUUUUUCCGGUCUUGUGUCACUGUAAGAUACUUUAUGCAUCGGGCUGCCUUCGGACAAAAAUAAACUUUUUUUAUUUUUGUUUUAGAUUUAUUGUUGUUUUGUUUAUUAUUUUGCAUGAAUAUUUGAAAUUGGAAUUAUAAUUAUGAGUAACUAUGAAAAACAUUUUCUUAUCUUAUAAAUUAAAUUUAAGUUCUACAUAUCGAUAAUAUAAUAUUUAAUAAAUUAUUAAAUAAAUACAUUUUUAUAUAGUGCAAUGUUUUUAAUACUUUCCGAAUAAUAGGUAAUGGUGGUGGCACUAAAACUGAAGUCUAUGGUCAAUCCCCUGCGUCGGCUCCUUCAGCAACUGAACAAUCACCGUCUGGUAAAAAUCUACCCAAUAUCUUUGUGUUAAUAAUAUUCUCCCUUUGAAACAUUUUCCACCACUAAUUACAGUAAAAACUAAAUAAUCACAUUUUUGGUCAAACUGUAAUUUAGAAUUGUUUAACACUUUAACUUUUGAUAGCUGAAAGCAUAAGGUGGACAACAAUAUUUGGAACAAGAAAGUUACUUUUAUACUUAGCCUAGAGAGAAGCUCUGCCUUCUCUCUAACUUUCUCAUCUUCUGCUUCAUUGUUUCAUCGUCUUCUUCUCUACUGCUUCUGCAUAGGUAAGUAAAUCCGGCAGAGGUUGUUAUGGCAAAGAGGAAAGGUCGCCCAAGGAAACAAUUAGUUCAUCGUCUUCUUCUCUACUGCUUCUGCAUAGGUAAGUAAAUCUGGCAGAGGUUGUUAUGGCAAAGAGGAGAGGUCGCCCAAGGAAACAAUUAGUACCAAUUUAUGCGAGUGAUGUAGUUGUCCCAAAAGCAGUUAACACUGUACCAAUGGUAGGUACCACUGUUCCAUUGAAAUAAGCUGAGAUAACUGUUCCAUUACCUCAUGCAGUACUAGAUCCACAACCAUCUGGAGUCUCCUUGAUACCAACAGCAAAUGUGAGGAUUACAGAGCCUCCCAUUGUUCCGAUGGAGCCUGAGAAUAGAGUUCAGAUCUGAAUGCAACAACCACCACCAAUUGAUGUUCCAAAGGCUGUUUGUGAUGAAGUUCCAAAAUCAGAUCCACCCAAACAGUGGGCUAGUCUUUUCCAGAGUAACCGACUUGCUGCAAAUGGUAUGUCGUUAGAGUAUAUUCCCCCUACACUUGUUAAUGGCAAACCAGUUGGUCAGCUGGUGANNNN